rnacentral:lncRNA from 1 species
GCUGCAGCUCAAGAGGAAGGAAAAGGAACUGCCCCGAAGAUGACCGCAGCUCACUGGUGGCCUGCAAGGGACAACGUCCAAUAGUGAGCAUUUGCUCGCUUCUGGCAAAGAAGUCUAUAUCAUGUAUAACGAUCUGGAUUACCAUUUCUGAUCCAAAGAUGUAAUGCCACAAGAAAAUGGGGAUAGCUCGACCGCCAAAGAUUGCAAAGGAGUCCUCAAAAUAUGCCACAGCUUUUCCAAUUUAUUUGAUAUUGUAACUGUAUUCUGGGUGCUUUGCAGGAAGACGCGGCUGUGAGAGGAAGGCGAUGAGCGCGCAGGCGUAGCCUGCGUGGAGGUCCCUGAGCGGGUCGUCCCCUGUCCCAACCGCCAGAUGGACGCGCAAACUUCACUCAGUCAAGUAAGAGUAGAACUUGUUCAUUCACGAAUAAGACUUGUGGACGAAACGCAUUAAGUGCUUUUUUCACCGGCGAUAUCUGGUACGGACCAAAAUUUAGAUACGCGAUACAUUUAGAUACACAUGUCAGCCCCUCAUCAGGACAGUUCCUCAAAUUCAUGAGGUUGUGAAGCAUAUGUCACUUACGUCUAUCACUUAUACCACGCAACUAUUAAGAAAGCCGUGUGAUGUGGAAUGACCCGAGGGACUGGCAGAAGUUCAAGGUUGCGGUGGAGAGUACAAAGCAUGGCGCAUUUUCUAACAUAUAUUACAAGAUUUUAAUGGUAUUUGUGCUGUACUGCAUUGGAGGACUCCAGCGCUGCACCUCCUACUCCCACAACGGUUAGGCAGUUGGCGAAGUAACGGUGCUUUCCUCUUAAUUACUGUUUCACAACGGUACAACCCUGUAACUCGUUUCAUUU